rnacentral:rRNA from 1 species
UCUACAGGCUUAACACAUGCAAGUCGAGGGGCAGCAUGGUCUUAGCUUGCUAAGGCCGAUGGCGACCGGCGCACGGGUGAGUAACACGUAUCCAACCUGCCGUCUACUCUUGGACAGCCUUCUGAAAGGAAGAUUAAUACAAGAUGGCAUCAUGAGUCCGCAUGUUCACAUGAUUAAAGGUAUUCCGGUAGACGAUGGGGAUGCGUUCCAUUAGAUAGUAGGCGGGGUAACGGCCCACCUAGUCUUCGAUGGAUAGGGGUUCUGAGAGGAAGGUCCCCCACAUUGGAACUGAGACACGGUCCAAACUCCUACGGGAGGCAGCAGUGAGGAAUAUUGGUCAAUGGGCGAGAGCCUGAACCAGCCAAGUAGCGUGAAGGAUGACUGCCCUAUGGGUUGUAAACUUCUUUUAUAAAGGAAUAAAGUCGGGUAUGGAUACCCGUUUGCAUGUACUUUAUGAAUAAGGAUCGGCUAACUCCGUGCCAGCAGCCGCGGUAAUACGGAGGAUCCGAGCGUUAUCCGGAUUUAUUGGGUUUAAAGGGAGCGUAGAUGGAUGUUUAAGUCAGUUGUGAAAGUUUGCGGCUCAACCGUAAAAUUGCAGUUGAUACUGGAUAUCUUGAGUGCAGUUGAGGCAGGCGGAAUUCGUGGUGUAGCGGUGAAAUGCUUAGAUAUCACGAAGAACUCCGAUUGCGAAGGCAGCCUGCUAAGCUGCAACUGACAUUGAGGCUCGAAAGUGUGGGUAUCAAACAGGAUUAGAUACCCUGGUAGUCCACACGGUAAACGAUGAAUACUCGCUGUUUGCGAUAUACUGCAAGCGGCCAAGCGAAAGCGUUAAGUAUUCCACCUGGGGAGUACGCCGGCAACGGUGAAACUCAAAGGAAUUGACGGGGGCCCGCACAAGCGGAGGAACAUGUGGUUUAAUUCGAUGAUACGCGAGGAACCUUACCCGGGCUUAAAUUGCAGAUGAAUUACGGUGAAAGCCGUAAGCCGCAAGGCAUCUGUGAAGGUGCUGCAUGGUUGUCGUCAGCUCGUGCCGUGAGGUGUCGGCUUAAGUGCCAUAACGAGCGCAACCCUUGUUGUCAGUUACUAACAGGUUCCGCUGAGGACUCUGACAAGACUGCCAUCGUAAGAUGUGAGGAAGGUGGGGAUGACGUCAAAUCAGCACGGCCCUUACGUCCGGGGCUACACACGUGUUACAAUGGGGGGUACAGAGGGCCGCUACCACGCGAGUGGAUGCCAAUCCCCAAAACCUCUCUCAGUUCGGACUGGAGUCUGCAACCCGACUCCACGAAGCUGGAUUCGCUAGUAAUCGCGCAUCGGCCACGGCGCGGUGAAUACGUUCCCGGGCCUUGUACACACCGUCCGUCAAGCCAUGGGAGCCGGGGGUACCUGAAGUGCGUAACCGCGAGGAGCGCCCUAGGGUAAAACUGGUGACUGGG